UACAGAGGUCCCGAGCGUUGUUCGGAUUCAUUGGGCGUAAAGGGCGCGUAGGCGGUCGUGACAAGUCACUUGUGAAAUCUCCGGGCUUAACUCGGAACGGUCAAGUGAUACUGUCGGACUAGAGUACAGAAGGGGCAACUGGAAUUCUCGGUGUAGCGGUGAAAUGCGUAGAUAUCUGGAGGAACACCGGUGGCGAAGGCGGCAUCCUGGACCGACACUGACGCUGAGGAGCGAAAGCCAGGGGAGCAAACGGG
rnacentral:rRNA from 1 species